rnacentral:rRNA from 1 species
GCCCUGUUGUCAAUAUGGUCUCUCAAACAGGAUUAGCCUGUUAUCCCUAAGGUAGCUUUUUCUAUUAAUCAUAGUGUUUGGAUCAGAUAAAUAAAAGAGAAGUUUUAGAUUUUCUCUAGUUGCCCCAACUAAACUCAAGUGUUUAAAUAUUAAAUAAAGGAGUUAAGCUCUAUAGGGUCUUUUCGUCUUUUUUUAAAAUUCAGGUCUCUUCACCUGAAGGCCAAUUUUUAUUUGUUAAAAUGAGACAGAUUUGCUCUCGUAUAUUCAUUCAUUCCAGCCAUCAAUUAAACGGCAAGUGAUUAUGC